rnacentral:rRNA from 1 species
AUUGAACGCUGGCGGCAUGCCUACACAUGCAAGUCGAACGGUAACAGGUCUUCGGAUGCUGACGAGUGGCGAACGGGUGAGUAAUGCAUCGGAACGUGCCCAGUUGUGGGGGAUAACUGCUCGAAAGAGCAGCUAAUACCGCAUACGACCUGAGGGUGAAAGCGGGGGAUCGCAAGACCUCGCGCAAUUGGAGCGGCCGAUGUCAGAUUAGGUAGUUGGUGGGGUAAAGGCCUACCAAGCCGACGAUCUGUAGUUGGUCUGAGAGGACGACCAGCCACACUGGGACUGUGACGCGGCCCAGACUCCUACGGGAGGCAGCAGUGGGGAAUUUUGGACAAUGGGCGCAAGCCUGAUCCAGCAAUGCCGCGUGCAGGAAGAAGGCCUUCGGGUUGUAAACUGCUUUUGUCAGGGAAGAAAUCCUCUGGGUUAAUACCCCGGGGGGAUGACGGUACCUGAAGAAUAAGCACCGGCUAACUACGUGCCAGCCGCCGCCGUAA